rnacentral:rRNA from 1 species
CCUACGGGAGGCAGCAGUGGGGGAUAUUGCACAAUGGGGGGAACCCUGAUGCAGCGACGCCGCGUGGGUGAAGGAGUGCUUCGGCAUGUAAAGCCCUAUCGGCAGGGAAGAAGCAAGACGGUACCUGACUAAGAAGCCCCGGCUAACUACGUGCCAGCAGCCGCGGUAAUCCGUAGGGGGCGAGCGUUAGCCGGAGUCACUGGGUGUAAAGGGAGCGUAGACGGCAAUGCAAGCCAGGGGUGAAAGCCCGGGGGCCAACCCCGGGACUGCACUUGGAACGGCAUGGCUGGGGUGCGGGAGGGGCAGGCGGAAUUCCGGGUGUAGCGGUGAAAUGCGUAGAUAUCAGGAGGAACACCGGCGGCGAAGGCGGCCUGCUGGACCGCGACUGACGUUGAGGCUCGAAAGCGUGGGGAGCGAACAGGAUUAGAUACCCCUGUAGUC